UACGGAGGGUGCGAGCGUUGUCCGGAAUCAUUGGGCGUAAAGGGCGCGUAGGUGGCGGGACAAGCGUGCGGUGAAAGCUCGGGGCUCAACCCCGAGUCGGCCGUGCGAACUGUUUUGCUUGAGCACUGUAGAGGCAGGCGGAAUUCCGGGUGUAGCGGUGGAAUGCGUAGAGAUCCGGAAGAACACCGGUGGCGAAGGCGGCCUGCUGGGCAGUGGCUGACACUGAGGCGCGACAGCGUGGGGAGCAAACAGG
rnacentral:rRNA from 1 species